UUUCGACUUAGUUGGCCAUGAAAUUUUAGAAAUAAUACAUGAGUCAUUACAAUGUGGAGUGUUUCCCAAAACCCUAAAAAAUCUGCUGUUGUUCCUGUUGCAAAAGUCCCAAAUUCCAGAAAAGCACUUGAAUAUAGGCCAAUCAACAAUCUGGAUUUCGGGGAUGGCAUUCAUGUGAAACAACUCUAGUGAGUACAAUCCACGACUGGAAAAUAAAGAUGGAUGAAGGGAGAAAACCAUUGAUUGAGAAAUUUAAAUUGAAAUUUUAAUUGAUAAGUGAAUCAAGCGGAAGAAGUGUCAAUAUUGGAGUGCCACAAGGAUCGAAUUUUUGGUGAUGACACUUUAAUUUACAUUGACUUUAAGAAUAUAAUGGAUGUAUAUGCAAAAAUUAAUGAAGAUCUUGAUAAUGUUUAUCAGUGGCUUUGUAUGAACAAAUUAAAACUGAAUGUAUCAAAAACCAAAUUCAUGAUUCUAAAUUCAAAUGAAAUUGUUAAUUUGCAAUUGGAUCGAAAAACAUCCAACAAGUGAGAAGCAUAAAAUAUUUAGGAGUUAUUAUUUAUAAAGACUUAAAUUUCAAAGAAUUUCCGAUUAUAUUUGCGCGAAGAUAAGCAAAAAAGUGUUGUUUUUUUUUUAAUAGAGUCAGAAAGAAAUUAAGCUUUAAAAAUGCACUAAUGAUUUACAACACAAUUGUUCUGCCACAUUUUGACUAUUGUGCUACAAUUCUGUACAUGUGCAAUAUAGAUAAUAGACAAACACUACAGGUUCUUCAAAAUAAAGCUAUGCGUGUUGUCUUAAAUUGUAAUAGAUACCUAUACCCUUUCAAACUUUAUGUUACAAUCCUUAAAGUGGUUAAAUGUUAAUCAGCGUCUAAUCUUGAAAGUCCUUAUUUUUAUUUGUAAUAUAAAAUCUUGCAAUUAUCUACAGUAUCUACAAGAGAAAUUGUUUUAUGUUGGCGAAUUGCAAACCUUUAAAUCUAAGAUCUGUAAAUGAUUUCUGACUGGAGAGAUAUAAAAAUCUGUAAUGUAGGUAUCAAGGAGUGAAACUAUUUAAUUCACUGCCAAGAGAAUUAAAAGAUGAGUCCAA